CUGCAGGAGACUUCCAGCAACCUCAGCUCCAUGUUGGAGGAACAUUCUGUACCUGCUGGGUGCUCUGUGUGAGCUGAGUGAGGUGCAACAGCAGCUGCUGGCCAUGUCCAGGGAGAAGGGGAUCCUUUCCCAAUAGGUGGAGCUGGAGAGGGACCUGGGGGAUGACAACGAGGAGAAAAUUGAGUUUGAGCUCAUCCAGCUCCACCCCCACACUUGUGGAUGGGCAGUCUGAGGCCCAGAGAGCACACAAGACUUUAGGGCCACACAGCAGGCUCUUAGCAGAACUCUCUACAGAACUUAGGUCUCCGGAUUCUUAAUCCUUGCCCAUCUCUGCUUCACUCUAGCAUUAACAGACAGAGGGGGGAUCAAGGAUGGGGACUGUAAUAAAAUAGCUUGUUGAAUAGCAAGAGAGGCUGGGUGCGGUGGCUCACACCUACAAUCCCAGAACUUUGGGAGGCCGAGGCAGGAGGAUUGCUUGAGGCCAAGAGUUCCACACCAGCUUGGGCAACAUAGCCAGACCCCAUCUCUAUUUAAUAUAGGAAAUAAUAAAAAAUAAAAAGUAAAAGAAUGGCAGUGUGAUGCCACCUUGAAGCAAAACUGCCAUGGUGACUGGUAUUGGAUUCCUGAUUCUGGCAGCAAAGUCCUUAAACAAUGCCUGUAGCAUAGAUAACCCCUGUAUUAGUCCAUUCUCACACUGCUGUGAAGAAAUACCUGAGACUGGGUAAUUUAUAAGGGAAAGACAUUUAAUUGACUCACAGUUCCACAUUGCUGGGGAGGCCUCAGGAAACUUAAAAUUAUGGCGGAAAGGAAAAGAGAAGAAGACACCUUCACAGAGCAGCAGGACAGAGUGAAUGCAAGCAGGGGAAAUGCCAGAUACUUAUAAAACCAUCAGAUCUCAUGAGACUCACUCAUGAUCAUGAAAACAGCAUAGGGGUAACCACCCCCAUCACUCAAUUACCUCCACCCGGUCCCACCCCCAACACAUGGGGAUUAUGGUGAUUAUAAUUCAAGAUAAGAUUUUGGGUGGGGGACACAGCGAAACCAUACCAACCCGUCAUAAAGCAACAAUGCCUGUAACACAGAUAAUCCCUCAUAUAGAUGUGUAUCUAACCUCCCCAGUGGCCAUGACUUUUGCAAGACAGUCUGAG
rnacentral:lncRNA from 10 species